AUUGAACUCUGGCGGCAGGCCUAACACAUGCAAGUCGAGCGGAGCGGCGGACGGGUGAGUAAUGCCUAGGAAUCUGCCUGGUAGUGGGGGAUAACGUCCGGAAACGGGCGCUAAUACCGCAUACUAUCAGAUGAGCCUAGGUCGGAUUAGCUAGUUGGUGGGUUAAAGGCCUACAAAGGCGAAGAUCCGUAACUGGUAUGAGAGGAUGAUCAGUCACACUGGAACUUAGACACGGUCCAGACUCCUACGGGAGGCAGCAGUGGGGAAUAUUGGACAAUGGGCGAAAUCCUGAUCCAGCCAUUCCGCGUGUGUGAAGAAGGUCUUCGGAUUGUAAAGCACUUUAAGUUGGGAGUCGUUACCAACACAAUAAGCACCGGAUAACUGCGUGCCAGCCGCCGCGGUAAUUC
rnacentral:rRNA from 1 species